rnacentral:misc_RNA from 1 species
UGGGCCUUCGGGCCCGCGUAUAUUUACUCUGAAUGUGUAUAGAAUGUAAACCGUUUGUUUGCCCUGAAAAAGCAAACGAAAAAAAAUACAACUUUCAACAACGGAUCUCUUGGCUCUCGCAUCGAUGAAGAACGCAGCGAAAUGCGAUAAGUAAUGUGAAUUGCAGAUUUUCAGUGAAUCAUCGAAUCUUUGAACGCACCUUGCGCCCCUUGGUAUUCCGAGGGGCAUGCCUGUUUGAGUGUCAUUAAAUCCUCAACCGCGCCGAUCGAUUUCGGUGGGGCUUGGACUUUGGAGCGUGCUGGCGAAGGUCGGCUCCUCUUUAAAUGCAUCAGCGGAAGAAACCUUUGUCUUUCCUG